rnacentral:rRNA from 1 species
GCUCAACCGGGGAAGUGCUUCGAAAACUGGUAAACUUGAGUGCAGAAGAGGAAAGUGGAACUCCAUGUGUAGCGGUGGAAUGCGUAGAUAUAUGGAAGAACACCAGUGGCGAAGGCGGCUUUCUGGUCUGUAACUGACGCUGAGAUUCGAAAGCAUGGGUAGCAAACAGGAUUAGAUACCCUGGUAGUCCAUGCCGUAAAUGAUGAGUGCUAAGUGUUGGAGGGUUUCCGCCCUUCAGUGCUGCAGCUAACGCAUUAAGCACUCCGCCUGGGGAGUACGAUCGCAAGAUUGAAACUCAAAGGAAUUGACGGGGGCCCGCACAAGCGGUGGAGCAUGUGGUUUAAUUCGAAGCAACGCGAAGAACCUUACCAGGUCUUGACAUACCAUGAAAAGCUAAGAGAUUAGUCUUUCCCUUCGGGGACAUGGAUACAGGUGGUGCAUGGUUGUCGUCAGCUCGUGUCGUGAGAUGUUGGGUUAAGUCCCGCAACGAGCGCAACCCUUAUUAUCAGUUGCCAGCAUUCAGUUGGGCACUCUGGUGAGACUGCCGGUGACAAACCGGAGGAAGGUGGGGACGACGUCAAAUCAUCAUGCCCCUUAUGACCUGGGCUACACACGUGCUACAAUGGUCGGUACAACG